GAGGGAAACCGAGUCUUAAUUGGGCGUUAAGUUGCAGGGUAUAGACCCGAAACCCGGUGAUCUAGCCAUGGGCAGGUUGAAGGUUGGGUAACACUAACUGGAGGACCGAACCGACUAAUGUUGAAAAAUUAGCGGAUGACCUGUGGCUGGGGGUGAAAGGCCAAUCAAACCGGGAGAUAGCUGGUUCUCCCCGAAAGCUAUUUAGGUAGCGCCUCGUGAAUUCAUCUCCGGGGGUAGAGCACUGUUUCGGCUAGGGGGCCAUCCCGGCUUACCAACCCGAUGCAAACUGCGAAUACCGGAGAAUGUUAUCACGGGAGACACACGGCGGGUGCUAACGUCCGUCGUGAAGAGGGAAACAACCCAGACCGCCAGCUAAGGUCCCAAAGUCAUGGUUAAGUGGGAAACGAUGUGGGAAGGCCCAGACAGCCAGGAUGUUGGCUUAGAAGCAGCCAUCAUUUAAAGAAAGCGUAAUAGCUCACUGGUCGAGUCGGCCUGCGCGGAAGAUGUAACGGGGCUAAACCAUGCACCGAAGCUGCGGCAGCGACACUAUGUGUUGUUGGGUAGGGGAGCGUUCUGUAAGCCUGCGAAGGUGGCCUGUGAGGGUUGCUGGAGGUAUCAGAAGUGCGAAUGCUGACAUAAGUAACGAUAAAGCGGGUGAAAAGCCCGCUCGCCGGAAGACCAAGGGUUCCUGUCCAACGUUAAUCGGGGCAGGGUGAGUCGACCCCUAAGGCGAGGCCGAAAGGCGUAGUCGAUGGGAAACGGGUUAAUAUUCCCGUACUUGGUGUUACUGCGAAGGGGGGACGGAGAAGGCUAUGUUGGCCGGGCGACGGUUGUCCCGGUUUAAGCGUGUAGGUGUGUGUUCCAGGUAAAUCCGGUU
rnacentral:rRNA from 1 species